GUACACUCACCCAAAAAAGGUCAGAUUAAAGUCCACAGUUAAGACUAUCUUGUGUAGUACAGAUUUUCUUUUUAAAAACUAAACAUUAAUCAAGUGCGCGUGCGUGAGCGCGCGCAUGCGGUCUCUCUCUCUCUCUCUCUCUCUCUCUCUCUCUCUCUCUCUCUCUCUCUCCAGAUAAACUCUCUACAGCCAGAGUAAGAAAGACAUAUAAGGAAGGGUAGAGCCAGAACAAACCAGAAUCUCAGGUCCUAGAAGAAACUGCUCCUGUGCAGGAGGAAAUAGAGAGAGCACAGAAUAUCUGAUUCCUUUGUGGCUCUUGCUGUUUGAUGGAAAGUAAUUUCAAAGGAAUCGCUCUUCAGAACAAACCCUCAAUUACAGUUGUAAUUAAUUAAUGAAUGACUGGCCUUCCGCUUCCAGGAUGUCUUUCAUCCCAGCACACCUCAAACAAAACCAAACAACCCAGCCUGUCCCUAGAAUGUCCCUGGGCUCCAAGGAGAAAUACAGCUUUGCUUUGCUAAUUGCUCAGCACUCCUUUCUCUCUCUCUCUCUCUCUCUCUCUCUCUCUCUCUCUCUCUCUCUCUCCUUGAAUCUGCAGACCAUUGGCUUGUAUGUGACCUACAGCCUACAGCACAAACUGUGGAAACAGGAAGCCUGCCAUGAUUGUUUGAUGAGAUGGAUGAAUCUUUCUGCCAAGGGUGUGUGUGUACUGAAUAUGGAACCCAGGACCAGUGGUAGACAAAUGCUUUACUACUGACCUCUAUUUCCCAGUGCAAUGCCCAGGUCUAACACACUUUGUAGACAAAGGAUCAGGUGUUUGUAGAGGUGAGUGACUCAGAGUUAUAUGCAGGUUCAGUGUAAUUGACUGCAUGACUUUGGCUUUUCCUUGGAAAGGUGGGUUCAAGGGUUACUUCCUUCCUUCAUCAUUUUCUGAAUUCUCUGGACUGAAUUUGAUGCUCUGCUGGGAGGGAAUGACCUCCUCUAGAUCCAAGGUCUUCCAGGAGAAUGGGCCACUCGGUAUCCCUGCUCUUCUACAGAUGUUGGAAGCACCCACAGGAUCCAGCUGUUUCCUGUGGAUCUAACUGUGUCCUUGAACCCAGAGGUCCUCCUUCCACAACCUCCCAGGGGCUGGGAUCACAGCAUGGUCCACCGUGACUUUGAUUCUCCAAAGGAAAAGAUGCCACGAAGAAGUUAGAAUCCAUCCAUGCAAAGCUUUUAGAGUUCUCUCCCCGACAUUGUCCUUUAGUUACCAACUGACUUUGUCACCAUCUUCUGGGCAAUAUAUUUGUCACUCUAUACCUGGGUCUACGCCAAGGAGGAGUGGCCUGGCCUACCAGAUGUAACUGUGCGUCCUUUGUCCUUUUCACCCCAUAAAAGAAGGUCUAUACCAUCCUGCUGACACCGAACCUUUCAGAGAAGACAGCAGAAGUUGCAGCCGUACACCUGUGCUGAGUUACUGGAGCAGAGAGAACAGAGAAGAAGGCAGAGCUGGACGAAACCAGGGAUGCCUCAAGAUGCUGUUUUGGCGUACUGCCUACUGCGGCCCCUGUAUUCAUAGGAAGUACCUAAAGAACAAAAGACACCUAUGAGGGGUGAUCCCAGGCUCUUCCGGCUCUGUGGUGUGUUUUGUUCUUCAGCGUCAGUGUCAUGGGAAAUCACAGGAAGCUCUCAGGAAGCAGUGCUGAGCUGUGGCCACAUGGCUAGCUCCUGUGCCAUGUGGAAAGGGACCGAGAGCAGGAAGAAGCAUGUGGGGACAGUAAGAAGGGCACUUGGUGACUGACCUGUGACCUUUGGCAGCAGAAUGAUUUAGUGAAAUAGGCAGAGAUGGUAGACUGGAAUCCUUAACAUCAACCACGUUCCUGCUAUGACAAAGAAGACGUUAAAAUAAAAUUCA